rnacentral:rRNA from 1 species
AACGUAGGUUCCGAGCGUUAUCCGGAUUUACUGGGCGUAAAGCGCGUUCAGGCGGUUCGGCAAGUCGGGCAUGAAAUCUCUCGGCUCAACCGGGAGAGGUUGUCCGAUACUGUUGGACUUGAGGGCAGUAGAGGGUGGUGGAAUUCCGGGUGUAGUGGUGAAAUGCGUAGAUAUCUGGAGGAACACCGGUGGCGAAGGCGGCAUCCUGGACCAAUUCUGACGCUGAGGAGCGAAAGCCAGGGGAGCAAACGGG